CCUACGGGAGGCAGCAGUGAGGAAUAUUGGUCAAUGGACGAGAGUCUGAACCAGCCAAGUAGCGUGAAGGAUGACUGCCCUAUGGGUUGUAAACUUCUUUUAUAUGGGAAUAAAACGUUCCACGUGUGGGAUUUUGUAUGUACCAUAUGAAUAAGGAUCGGCUAACUCCGUGCCAGCAGCCGCGGAAAUACGGAGGAUCCGAGCGUUAUCCGGAUUUAUUGGGUUUAAAGGGAGCGUAGGUGGAUUGUUAAGUCAGUUGUGAAAGUUUGCGGCUCAACCGUAAAAUUGCAGUUGAAACUGGCAGUCUUGAGUACAGUAGAGGUGGGCGGAAUUCGUGGUGUAGCGGUGAAAUGCUUAGAUAUCACGAAGAACUCCGAUUGCGAAGGCAGUUCACUGGACUGCAACUGACACUGAGGCUCGAAAGUGUGGGUAUCAAACAGGAUUAGAUACCCCGGUAGUC
rnacentral:rRNA from 1 species